AUUGAACGCUGGCGGCAGGCCUAACACAUGCAAGUCGAGCGGAGCGGCGGACGGGUGAGUAAUGACUAGGAAUCUGCCUGGUAGUGGGGGAUAACGUCCGGAAACGGGCGCUAAUACCGCAUACUAUCAGAUGAGCCUAGUUGGGAUUAGCUAGUUGGUGGGGUAAAGGCCUACCAAGGCGACGAUCCGUAACUGGGCUGAGAGGAUGAUCAGUAACACUGGAACUGAGACACGGUCCAGACUCCUACGGAAGGCAGCAGUUGGGAAUAUUGGACAAUGGGAGAAAUCCUGAUCCAGCCAUGCCGCGUGUGUGAAGAAGGUCUUCGGAUUGUAAAGCACUUUAAGUUGGGAGGCAUUACCAGCAGAAUAAGCACCGGCUAACUUCGUGCCAGCCGCCGCGGUAAUUC
rnacentral:rRNA from 1 species